UAUGGGGACAUUUUGAAUUAUGGGGACAUGACCGGUGUCCUCAUAAUUCUAACAGUGUAGAAGUGCUUCUAUACCUAGAGGGAGCUCAAAUCCAAAAUUUCUCCACAAGUCCCCAUAGUUCACAUUUACAUGAUUUUGUGUAAAACGUGUGUAUCGAGACAGUGCCCCUGUAGGUGGGUCUGGGGUACUGCACCUCCUCAUGAAUAUUCACACUUGUGUAUGAAAUCGCAGUUUGUGAUUGGCUGUGACCGCCGGAAGUCCUCAUAAUUUCGGGUUUUGUCAGACCACUGUGUUAAUGUGUUUACCUCACACGAGUUAAUGCAGUUUACUAACUAUUUAAACAUUAUUGUUUUAUAAUUUAUCAAUUGUCAAUGAAAUAUAUAAAUGCAGAGUGACCCUGCAAUGAUAAAUAAUCCGUAAAUAUCAUAUUAUGAAAAAUGAAAAUAGCUUGAAAGCUGUUCGCAAUCAGUUUAAUGGAGAAACGCGACCCUAACCACACUAUUAACUGCUAUAUCAUAGACUAUAUCAUAGAUGGCUAUUUACAUACAUAAUGGUAUUAUUAUUCUACAAUAUCGUUUAUUAUAAUCCAUAUGGUCUAAUAAUCAUAGUUUAGCGUCGCGUUUAUUUCCUGUUUGGACCGGGUGGAAACUGCAGCUGAGAAGACACCUGUGAUUUGGACCUGUUUAAAGCAACUAUUACUGGAAAGCAGACACUCUGAGAGCCCAAGCCACUGGAUGAGGCGUAGUUUUCACUUCAGAACAAAGACAGAUUCAUCAAUGAUUUUAAAGGGAGAGGAGUGUUCAGUUGCUCUGAGUUUCAUAAGGGAGAUUUCCUGCUUGAAUAUGGAGGAGACUAAGAAAAGAAGAAGAACGAGAGCGAAGGCAAAGAGUAUCUCAUCAUGACGAGUUUCAUUACGAUGGAAAACUCCUCUGUGUUGAUCAGCCCGAGAUGACGGUUCCCUUGGUUGACCAUAUGAACCCGACCUGCAGGAUGAAGACUAUCGCUGUGGAUGGAAAACCUCAGCUAUGCUUGUUUGCUCCAAACAAUGAAGAGAUCACAUAUAAUCAUGGUGAUCCUGAGUGGCCAAGUGAUGCACGAUGAGCCAUUUGAAAACUCACAUGGCUGAAGUGGG